GCACUGAUGAUGAGUCCCAAACAGGACGAAACAACUGCCCAGUGC
rnacentral:hammerhead_ribozyme from 1 species